AUUGAACGCUGGCGGCAGGCCUAACACAUGCAAGUCGAACGAGUGGCGGACGGGUGAGUAAUGUCUGGGAAACUGCCCGAUGGAGGGGGAUAACUACUGGAAACGGUAGCUAAUACCGCAUACCAUCGGAUGUGCCCAGAUGGGAUUAGCUAGUAGGUGGGGUAACGGCUCACCUAGGAGACGAUCCCUAGCUGGUCUGAGAGGAUGACCAGCCACCUGGGAACGGAGACACGGUCCAACCUCCAACGGGGGGCAGCGUGGGGGAUUAUUGAACAAUGGGCGCAAGCCUGAUGCGGCCAUGCGGCGGGAAUGAGGAAGGCCUUCGGUUUGUAAAGUACUUUAAGCGAGGAGGCGUUACUCGCAGAAGAAGCACCGGCUAACUCCGUGCCAGCAGCCGCGGUAUUC
rnacentral:rRNA from 1 species